ACUCCUACGGGAGGCAGCAGUGGGGAAUAUUGCACAAUGGGCGCAAGCCUGAUGCAGCCAUGCCGCGUGUAUGAAGAAGGCCUUCGGGUUGUAAAGUACUUUCAGCGGGGAGGAAGGCGAUAAGGUUAAUAACCUUGUCGAUUGACGUUACCCGCAGAAGAAGCACCGGCUAACUCCGUGCCAGCAGCCGCGGUAAUACGGAGGGUGCAAGCGUUAAUCGGAAUUACUGGGCGUAAAGCGCACGCAGGCGGUCUGUCAAGUCGGAUGUGAAAUCCCCGGGCUCAACCUGGGAACUGCAUUCGAAACUGGCAGGCUAGAGUCUUGUAGAGGGGGGUAGAAUUCCAGGUGUAGCGGUGAAAUGCGUAGAGAUCUGGAGGAAUACCGGUGGCGAAGGCGGCCCCCUGGACAAAGACUGACGCUCAGGUGCGAAAGCGUGGGGAGCAAACAGGAUUAGAAACCCCAGUAGUCCCAUGA
rnacentral:rRNA from 1 species